rnacentral:rRNA from 1 species
UACGGGGGGGGCGAGCGUUGUUCGGAAUUACUGGGCGUAAAGGGUUUGUAGGUGGCCACUUAAGUCAGACGUGAAAUCCCUCAGCUUAACCGGGGAACUGCGUCUGAUACUGCGUGGCUUGAGUGCAGGAGAGGAACGCGGAAUUCCAGGUGUAGCGGUGAAAUGCGUAGAUAUCUGGAGGAACACCGGUGGCGAAGGCGGCGUUCUGGACUGUAACUGACACUGAAAAACGAAAGCCAGGGGAGCAAACGGG